ensembl:lncRNA
GGGAUUCAUGGAAAAGGGAAGUGUAGGCUGGGAGAAUCUCCUGACAUUUAGAUCUAGCAGACUACAGAAAAGGAUCCAUGAGAAAACAAAGAUGUUCUUCCUGUUUGAAAUGUAAAGCUAUGUUUUACAUAUUAGUAAAUAGAAUUAUAUUCAGCCAUAUGAUUUAAGAUUUUAAUCUGGGGGAUUAUUUAUUGUGAAAAUUUUAUCUUUGCUAUUGAAAAGUACUAAAAAGCUGAAAGAUCAAAAAUGCUAAAAAUACGCAGUUAGUAAUCUUUUCCUUUAAUAGGUGGCAAAAAUAUGUUUGUAAAAUUUUUAUUUGAUAAGCUAAGUGUGCUAAUUUUAGACAUAUAUAUAUGUAAAAAAACCUGUUCUAGUGUGAGCAUCAUAUCAUUCUCUUACAAAAUUUGAGUUGUCUUCCACAGAUGCUUUCUUCCUUACAGAUGUCUUAGAAAGGUGUUUACAUUUGUAAAGUAAUGGUUCUUAUAGAAGAAAAAUCAUACCUUUCAUUAGCUGUACUGGUUAUUUUAUUUAAAUAAUUAAGUAUUUUAUAAAAACUAUUGUCUAAAUUACUCAAGCAUCUGUAUGCAUGACUAUGAAAGUGAUUAUUUCACUUAAUUUUAUGUGUGUUUAUAUUUGCUGUGGCACCAUUCAACAUCAAAUUUAAGUAUUCCUGGGUUUGGAAAAAAAAAAAAGAAAUAUCUUCUUAUAUUUGGUCUAAUAUAGUAAAAGAAGAACUUGUUAAUUAGAUGUAUGUUAUGAACUAGUUCUCCAUUCACUUGAAGGAUGGAUGACAUUACUAGUUCCUAUGUCAAAGGCACCGACUAUCUGUGUAGGUGUUUAAAAUAUGCUCGAAAUGGACAGCGGCACUUUUAAAAAUAUCAUUUUGUGUAGUAAUUUUACUGCCUAUUUUGAUAAAGAGAUUGUUCUUAAAAAAGUCCUACCUUGUGAAAAUACUAGUAUUGCUUUUAAAACGGUGAGCAAUGCAUAAUUAUGAAAGGUGUGUGCUAUCAAAUUAGACAUAUUAGUGUAUACUAUUAUCUUAAAAAUAAUAUGAUGCAGUGAAAUUUAGGGAGUUUUGUUUGUUUUUUAAUUUCACGUGUCUAUUUAUUGUCUAGAAAAGAAUAUACCUAUUCCAGAAAAAUCAUCUGUGAGUCCAUCUCAUAAAGAACGGAUAUCAUUUCGAGACCAUCCAGUGCAGUUCAGCGGAGGAUGGGGAUCAGGCAAAAAAAGGACAAAGCUUAAAAAUAUUGGAGAUAAUUUAACUAGUUGAUUUAAUCAAACAUGGAGAGCAUAUGGAGAGCUGGGGUUUUUUUAAGCCUAUGAAUAUUAAUUUUUGGAUUCUCGUUUAGUACCAAUAUAAAGAGUUUCAAUUAACUACAUUUGGCUUUUUUUAUUACACAUGGUUUCAGUGGUUUGGGGUGGUUUUGUUUUGGUCAAAGUAUUUUAUACCUGUCAGUAAGUUAUCAUAGUUUGUGUUUCCAAUUACUUGCAUGUUCAUGUGGUGUAGAAUGCAGAACUGAUUAACCCUACAAGGAUUGUUGUACAGUGAAUAAGUUUAGGCUUGCUUAUAACAACCAGUUGAGAUGUGCAAAAUUUGGUAAUGGUUCAUGCUCAUGUGAUAUAUGUCACAUAUCAAAACAGUGAAUUCUUAUUUUCUCACAAAUAAAAUACAUGCUUGCAAACUGUUGUGAGCUAUAGUAGCCAGCAAUGCCAUUCUUAGAAAAGUCUGUUUAGGAUAUUUCUCUGAAGCACCAAAAAUUCACAGCUAUCUACAAAUGGUGGAGAUAUACUUAUCUUUUUAUUUUAGUAAUAUGAUAAGUCCUCUAGAGCUAAAUUGUGCUCAUAAUAUGAUAAAGCAACCUGUUUAUAGUCUUAUACUUUCAAAGAAAGACUUCUAACAUUUUCAUAGAGGGUUAAAGAAAAAAACAAAUUUACUAAGUUCUCAUUUUGUUCUGGGGUAAUGUAACAUUACAUCCACAUGACACUGCUAACUCAACUUUAUUUGUUCAUGUAGCCAGACUCAUUCGGAUCUGUGUGCAAGAGUUUUGUGGUACAACAAGAUGUAGAGAAAGAAAACUAUUUCAAAAGUUGCUAAUUGGAUCUAGAGAAGUCUGUCUUUGGUAUCUCCUCUAUCUUCUCCAAUAUUGUGAAGCCUCAACCUGCAACAGAUUGAGAAAGGUGGGGAAGUUAAUGGAGCCUGAAACUUCAGUCAGUAAAGAAUAUAAAUUCUAAUGCUGUGGCUGUUUUAAAAAUGUACUUAAAUAUGACAUUAUUUUGUGAGGUGUUUUUUAUGCUAGCAUACAUAUGACUAUGGAUUGAAAGCAAUUAUCUCCAUUUUUGUGAAUACUCGCAUUCAUGUUCAGAUUAAAAGAUGGCUGAUCUCAUGGAAAACCUCCAGUAAAUGACCUUGCUUGUCUG